GCCUUGUGGAGAUCUGAGUCGAGUACAAGAGAAUAGAGGCUAUCCGGUUGAGCAGUGCUUUGUUACAAACAAUGUUUAGGUUCUUUUUUGAUGUGCACAACUUAACUGAGUAAACUAUAAAAACUAGAAGUUUUGGAUUUCUUUCAAGCUCUCAUGAUGGGUACCAUUUGUUCUUAUUGGCCUUGCCUUUUCUGAUUUUAUUUUGAUGGAUUUGUUAGCUAAUUUCUAAAUCUUUGGACAACCUCCUUGAGUCUUGAAGAGCAUCUCUAUCCUCUAGUUAAACAGUUUGCAGUGUGUUACUCUCUUCUGCUCCAUGGAUGAAUUGUUCCCUGUCACUCAUGGAUCUGAGCUGAAGCUGUUGAUGUAUCAAAGGAUUUCCUCCUGACCAAGAGGCAAGUGAUCCUUGAAGGAUGAGCGUGUGUGUUGUCCAGACUGCACAAUACAAAGUCCGGCCGGUGCAGUGCAAGGUUCAACCUAUCCUCCCCCACAACCAGCGCAGUGGCAUCAAGCAGAACAUGCCAUGAGUUCCGGUGAGCUUCUGAAACCCAGUGCAUUGAGUAUCGUGUACCAUUCACAUCCGCAGGGUAACAGAAGAGUCCCUUGGGACUGUGCUUACACUUCCUUCUGAAGUACUGGCUAAGCUGCGAUCCCUUGAUCCUCAAGUCCAGCCAAGUCUCUGGUGCUGAGAUCACUUUUGAGUCCUUGUAACUUGCGAAUUCCUUUAUGUAAUCCUCUUCUUCCCCAAGAAUCGUCAUGUAGAAGUUUCCCCUGAAGAAAGGAUAGCUCUCUCCCACCAUCAUCAUCGCUUCCUUGUAGUUAGACGUGAAGAGGACUAGGUACUCAUUGUCAGACAGACCACAGUGCUUUAGAACUUUGUUUUGAGCUUGGAUUUCUGGGAUUGAGAUGAAACUGCCAGGAAAGGAGGAUUUCUUGGUGAGGAUAUCAAGCAGUCUUGAUGCCUCCAACUGGGUUCUGUCUAGAUCAGGGAGAUUGCUACCAAAGGAAGGUGUGGACUCUCUGAAACUGCCUCUAGGGGACUUCCUCCUAUCGUCAGGUGUUGGAUCUGAAGACUCCUCAUUGAUGCAAAGAGUGGAGAGAUCGAUCAUUUCUCCUUCCUCAACCAAUCCAUUGGCGUAUUGUGGGUACUUGGCAAAGACAUACUGCUCAACAUACUGCAUCUCAGUCGGCGUGAUUGGACCUGACCAUCUGAGGUCAAGACCAUGGAGCGUUGAUAUGGCUUCCGCAACUAUGUGAGCAGGAAUCACAGUAUGUGCUUUCUGUUUUCAUCCAAAAUUUAGUCAAGCAAUCAGAACAUGAAAUUACAUAUAUAUUUAUUUAGGAACUCAUGAAACAUGAAGAAAAAGGGAGUUUGAAUUUGAAUUUACCUUGACUACC